CUGGGUCGCCUUGGAGCAGCCCACCUGCAGCGGGCUGGGUGGGUCCCUGGGUCUCUGAGCCCCUGCCAGGUCAGGAGAGAGGAUUGUGGCUGCCCCAGGGGACGGGUGCUGCUCCCUGUGGGCAGACCAGGUGGGCUUCCUGGCAGAGGUGGCAUCAGUGGUAGGAGACCGGUGGGGCUGAAGGUAAGGCAGGAAUACGGGUUUCCUGGUCAGUGAGUGUGUGUCUGUGCCAAUGGAAGAUGGGCCAGUGAGCGUCCUUGUGGUCAGAGUUCCACACCCACAGAAAGCCGAUCCGUCCACCCUGUAGUGGAACACCCUGUAGUGGAACCCUCAGCCCCUGAGGCCAGGGAUUCAAAGCACCUUCGUGGAAGGAGCCCCAGGAGGAAGGACCCGGCCCCGUUCCCGGGGCUGGCGUUGAGAAACACGGUGAAUAAUGGAUGUUGCACGAACAGAGGGAUUAGCACAGGCACGGGAAGGGGAGGCCCAUUCCUUGUUAAUAUUUAUUAAACCCACAGCCCCGUCACUCCAGAGCCUCAUCCAUAUUAAUUCCCAAUUAAACAUUUAUAUGAAGGAGAUUGCUUCUCCUCCCCCUCAAAGAACCUGUUUGAAGCUGGGACUGCGAGUGGCAGUCAGGGAAGUGGGGUCUUCAGGGGGGCCUGGGAGUGGGGGCUGGAAGAAUCCCUGGGCUUGCCCCUGAGGUCCCCCCACUGCAUCCCAUGGUCCCAGCUAUAGCCUGGCCUGCAGCUGCUGCCCAUGCCCAAGUCCCACAGAAGGCCCUCCACUGACCAGUUCCAGCACCUCCAAAGUCCCUGAGGCCAAGGCCCUGUCUCCAGCUGCAAAGUCAACGCCUGAACUCUGUGGGCCAUGCACACCUCGGCUGUGUGGGCCCUCCAGGCCCUUGGAGACACGAGGAUCUGCACCCAUGCAGGUGACAUGGCUGCCUUCUAGCCACCAAGGGUGGGGUCACCACUGCGCCGACACAGACGGCCCAUCCCCACCCCAGCUACUGUGCUCUGCAGAAAUCACCCGCAGGUCACACAGACAGAACUGCCCCUACUGCAGAUGCCGGUUGCAAGCCUGUGCCCAGAAAAGGCCACGUGAGGACACAGCCAGGGACAGUGUCUGCAGCCCGGGAAGCUGCCCUCUCCAGGAGCCGAGCCGCCGGAGCCUUGAUCCUGGACUUCUGGCCUCCGGAACUAUAAGGAAUAGUCUGUUGCUGCAGCUGUCUGUCUGCGGGUUCUGUGGGGGCAGCCCACGCUGUC